rnacentral:rRNA from 1 species
GGAGGACGCUGAGGAUCGCAAGGCCUUGCGUUAUUGGAGCGGCCGCUUUCUGAUUAGCUAGUUGGUGAGGUAAAGGCUUACCAAGGCGACGAUCAGUAGCUGGUCUGAGAGGAUGAUCACCCACACUGGGACUGAGACACUGCCCAGACUCCUACGGGAGGCAGCAGUGGGGAAUUUUGGACAAUGGGGGUAACCCUGAUCCAGCCAUGCCGCGUGAGUGAAGAAGGCCUUCGGGUUGUAAAGCUCUUUCGCGAGAGAAAAAACGGUGAGCGCUAAUACCGCUUACUAAUGAUGGUAUCUUGAGAAGAAGCACCGGCUAACUACGUGCCAGCAGCCGCGGUAAUACGUAGGGUGCGAGCGUUAAUCGGAAUUACUGGGCGUAAAGCGUGCGCAGGCGGUCUUGCAAGUCAGAUGUGAAAUCCCCGGGCUUAACCUGGGAACUGCGUUUGAAACUACAAGGCUAGAAGGG